AUGAGAACAGAGCGGGAGACAACCCAGACACCAACCCCCCCUUCUCCCCCCACCCCACAAGCGACAGGGAGCCCAGGAGAGACUGAGGCAUAUAUAUGUACGGAGAGAGGAUUUACUCUAAGAGACAAAGACCAGGGAGAAGCGCGGAGCAACACUUCCACAAUAUUUACAGACAAAUCACCACCCCCAAGCCUCUUCCUUCCCCACCUCAAGCCAUCCGGAGCAAUUCUGGGCAGAUGGGGGCAGUGGGGGAGGGGGAAGAGGCACGCCUGGGCCCACUGUGGGGACUGGAGGGGCAGGGGUGUCUGCUGGCCGAGAGGUCCCACCCCCUCGGAGCUAGAGGCAGGAGGGCCAGGGGAGGGAGCAGGCGGCCCGGCUCUCCAGCAGAAGAGGGGGCCGGUCGGUCAGACCCCUCCUGCCUCCGCUGGCAACGGGAAAUAUCGCGAUAACUCCCCCCCCCCACGCCAACCUCCAUUCUACUCCCGCCUCCCGGGCUUCCCCCGGAGCCUGGGUCAGAGGAUCAGGGACCCCAGUUACCCGGUGGCCGCUCCUACCUUCCCUAGAGUCAAACUUUCGGCGGGGCCCAAGGAGGGGGGUGUUCCAGAGAAAGAGACUCUGCCGAGGUGGUUCGGGGAGGGGGCGGGGCGCCCGGUCCUGGGCCGGGGGGGAAAGGGACCCGCUGGGGGGAGGUGCCCGAGAGACCGGGGACCCCGGCCAGGAGGAGCGCCCUCCCCCGGCCCCGCAGCAAUCAGAAAGGCAUGUCGCCUCGCUCCCGGCCUCAAGUCCUUCCUUGCGCGUCCACGACGCCCCAGUGCCCACGGAAGAAGCAGAGAGCGACCCUUCCCCAAACCCAAGGGGGCAGUGGGGCAGGGCCAGGGGCCGCUCUGGCUCGUGGGGCGGGCGAAGGGGGCAGAGAUCCGGCCCAGCGCGCAGCCCACAGCCCCUGUGGCUGCCUCGGGCCCUCCCCCUCGCUACCUCGGGAGCAGGUCUGCGAGGGGGCUGCGGCACAAAGAGGUGGUGGUCGAGGGAGACGCCAGAUCGCUAAAAGGGGGAAUCCAUUUCGGCCAUCUUGGAAGGGAGGAAAGGGAAAAGGGGAGAGAAAAGGGAGAAAGAAAGGCGGACGGGGCGAGCUAG
rnacentral:lncRNA from 1 species